UUGUGGACAUUCCUCUGGAACGUCAUUUACGGCGUGUUUGAGAGACUUUUAUUAUGUAAAUAUCAACCGGGACUGUGAAGAAAAGCUUUGGCAAGUCAACUUACAUAUGUUAUUGGUAAAUGUGAGAGGCGCUGCGUGAUUUUUCUUCUUACAAUAAAACUGUGAUGUGACCGAAGUAACUGCAACUGCAAAGAACUGACGUUCGCCGUCAAAAUUAAGGGCGCAAAAUCAAUUUACAGGAGAACCUCCAUCCACAUGCAUAACAAACAAUGGACUCUAAUGGAGCAGCGUGAGAUGAGAUGAAGUCUGUCUUUUACGCAGUGAAAUCCGAGCAAAGCCAGAAUCAGAUAAAUGAACUCCAGUGAAGCAUCAGCUCAGCCUCAUGUCGUUUCUGGACUGCACCUGUAUCUCCUCCCACACACAAGUCCAGCCCAUCAGCAUAGAGGAGCAGUAUGAAGACAUCAGCCAUCAGUGCUCGGUCAGUAAGUCAAGUCAAGUCAAGUCACCUUUAUUUAUAUAGCGCUUUUAACAAUACAGAUUGUGUCAAAGCAACUGAACAGCAUUAAUUAGGAAAAUAGUGUCAAUAAUGCAAAAUGACAAUAGUAAACACAAAUUUUUCAGUUAAAGACAGUUCAUCAUUGAAUUCAGUGAUGUCAACAUCCAGCUCAGUUUAAAUAGUAUCUUUGCAAUCAAGUCAACGGUAUCGCUGGAAAUGAAGUGUCA
rnacentral:lncRNA from 1 species